rnacentral:rRNA from 1 species
ACGUGUUGCAGUUAAAAGCUCGUAGUCGGAUUUUGGCUGAGAACGGUCGGUCCGCCGUUAGGUGUGCACUGACUGGUCUCAGCUUCCUGGUGAGGAGGUGUGCUUCAUCGCCACUUAGUCACCGUGGUUACUUUGAAAAAAUUAGAGUGUUCAAAGCGGGCUUACGCUUGAAUAUAUUAGCAUGGAAUAACACCAUAGGACUCCUGUCCUAUUUCGUUGGUCUCGGGACGGGAGUAAUGAUUAAGAGGAACAGUUGGGGGCAUUCGUAUUUCAUUGUCAGAGGUGAAAUUCUUGGAUUUAUGAAAGACGAACUUCUGCGAAAGCAUUUGCCAAGGAUGUUUUCAUUGAUCAAGAACGAAAGUUGGGGGCUCGAAGAUGAUUAGAUACCAUCCUAGUCUCAACCAUAAACGAUGCCGACUAGGGAUUGGCGGAUGUUAAUUGAUGACUUCGCCAGCACCUUAUGAGAAAUCAAAGUUUUUGGGUUCCGGGGGGAGUAUGGUCGCAAGGCUGAAACUUAAAGGAAUUGACGGAAGGGCACCACCAGGCGUGGAGCCUGCGGCUUAAUUUGACUCAACACGGGGAAACUUACCAGGUCCAGACUAGUAGGAUUGACAGAUUGAAAGCUCUUUCUUGAUUCUAUGGGGGGGGGGCAUGGCGUUCUUAAUGGGGGGUGAUUGUCUGGUAAUUCCGU